GGGUCGUAAAACUAGGUUGUUAGGGAAGAACAAGUGCUAGUUGAAUAAGCUGGCACCUUGACGGUACCUAACCAGAAAGCCACGGCUAACUACGUGCCAGCAGCCGCGGUAAUACGUAGGUGGCAAGCGUUAUCCGGAAUUAUUGGGCGUAAAGCGCGCGCAGGUGGUUUCUUAAGUCUGAUGUGAAAGCCCACGGCUCAACCGUGGAGGGUCAUUGGAAACUGGGAGACUUGAGUGCAGAAGAGGAAAGUGGAAUUCCAUGUGUAGCGGUGAAAUGCGUAGAGAUAUGGAGGAACACCAGUGGCGAAGGCGACUUUCUGGUCUGUAACUGACACUGAGGCGCGAAAGCGUGGGGAGCAAACAGGAUUAGAUACCCUGGUAGUCCACGCCGUAAACGAUGAGUGCUAAGUGUUAGAGGGUUUCCGCCCUUUAGUGCUGAAGUUAACGCAU
rnacentral:rRNA from 1 species